ACCGAAAAUUUCCAGAAUGCCUUUGACUCAGAUUCUUUUUCUCUGACCAAACUUCCUUUGGCCUUUUAUUCAGGUCUUUACGCAUAUGGCGGCUGGUUUUAUUUGAAUUUCAUAACGGAAGAGGUAAUUAACCCAAACAGAACCAUCCCAUUGGCUGUCAUUUUCUCCAUGGUGACUGUUACCGUGUGUUACGUGCUGGUCAAUGUGGCUUACUACACCAUGAUGACCGCAAAUGAGUUACUGAUGUCAGAUGCCGUGGCAGUGACAUUUGCAAGUCGGGCUCUGCAGGGUGUAGCUCCAGCAAUACCAGUAUUAGUUGCUCUUUCUUGUCUUGGAGCUCUUAAUGGAGGAUUUUUUGGUUCA